GUGGGGAAUUUUGGACAAUGGGCGAAAGCCUGAUCCAGCAAUGCCGCGUGUGUGAAGAAGGCCUUCGGGUUGUAAAGCACUUUUGGCAGGGAAGAAACAGUGCGUGCUAAUACCAUGCGCGAAUGACGGUACCUGCAGAAUAAGCACCGGCUAACUACGUGCCAGCAGCCGCGGUAAUACGUAGGGUGCAAGCGUUAAUCGGAAUUACUGGGCGUAAAGCGUGCGCAGGCGGCUUUGUAAGACGGAUGUGAAAGCCCCGGGCUCAACCUGGGAAGUUCAUUCGUGACUGCAAGGCUAGAGUGUGUCAGAAGGAGGUGGAAUUCCGCGUGUAGCAGUGAAAUGCGUAGAGAUGCGGAGGAACACCGAUGGCGAAGGCAGCCUCCUGGGAUAACACUGACGCUCAGGCACGAAAGCGUGGGGAGCAAACAGGAUUAGAAACCCGAGUAGUCC
rnacentral:rRNA from 1 species